UAUAUAUAUAUAUAUAUAUAUAUAUAUGUGUGUGUGUGUGUGUGUGUGUGUGUGUGUGUGUGUGUGAUUGUUGAUGAUCCUAGAGUACCUCGAGCUGUAUGGGUGAAACUUUCAUGAGAUCCACUCCAUCCAUCAAGUAUCUGCCUCACCGGUUCACCUUGGAACCCAAAAAUAAAGAUCGGCCCUAGGAAAAAGUUGGGCUGGAAAGCCCACCAUUAGUUGUUUGGGGACCAGCCGCCUUGGUUGCUUAUAUGCCACCCAAGUCUAAUAAUCUGAAGUGCAUAAUCCCUCAUCAGGGUGAAAGAAGAAACCAAACAUCACAGUAUAUUCCUUUACUCAAGUAGUCUGAAUUUAGAGGGUUUUAGGUAUAAUUUUAGAGAAGGGGGGGGCCCACAUGACUGUUGAAUCAGCCUGAUUAUCUUCUAGGUGAACAGCAUGGAUCAAACGGUCCACGUUAGUGAGAACUAUGCCAUUUGUUGGUGGGUCCACUGCGUGGGUAGGCGUAUGUACGUUAGCGGGUGUGAUCUUCACGGAAUCUGUAGACACUUUACUGGAACUUACAUUAGCGGGUGUGAUCUUCAAGGAAUUUGUAGACACUUCACUGGAACUCCCUGGGAAAUUUGCAUAAUUUGAUCUGAACCAGCAGUUAAAGCCAAUUUCAUGAGUACCUAGAUCACAUUUCAGUUUAACUGGAGCUACUGUACAACAAGAAUGCCGGAUUUUAUUUUAGUACGGUGAUUCCCGCUGCCUUAGGAUUUCUGCUUAACUAAAGCCUCGGGAUUGGGAAGAAGUUUCAAAAGGGCUGGGAGGAGGCAAUAGAGUAUUGUAG